CCUACGGGGCGCAGCAGUGAGGAAUAUUGGUCAAUGGACGAGAGUCUGAACCAGCCAAGUAGCGUGAAGGAUGACUGCCCUAUGGGUUGUAAACUUCUUUUAUAUGGGAAUAAAAUGUUCCACGUGUGGGAUUUUGUAUGUACCAUAUGAAUAAGGAUCGGCUAACUCCGUGCCAGCAGCCGCGGUAAUACGGAGGAUCCGAGCGUUAUCCGGAUUUAUUGGGUUUAAAGGGAGCGUAGGUGGAUUGUUAAGGCAGUUGUGAAAGUUUGCGGCUCAACCGUAAAAUUGCAGUUGAAACUGGCAGUCUUGAGUACAGUAGAGGUGGGCGGAAUUCGUGGUCUAGCGGUGAAAUGCUUAGAUAUCACGAAGAACUCCGAUUGCGAAGGCAGUUCACUGGACUGCAACUGACACUGAGGCUCGAAAGUGUGGGUAUCAAACAGGAUUAGAUACCCGGGUAGUC
rnacentral:rRNA from 1 species